CGGGUGAGUAACGCGUGAGGAACCUGCCUCAAAGAGGGGGACAACAGUUGGAAACGACUGCUAAUACCGCAUAAGCCCACGGCUCGGCAUCGAGCAGAGGGAAAAGGAGUGAUCCGCUUUGAGAUGGCCUCGCGUCCGAUUAGCUAGUUGGUGAGGUAACGGCCCACCAAGGCACGAUCGGUAGCCGGACUGAGAGGUUGAACGGCCACAUUGGGACUGAGACACGGCCCAG
rnacentral:rRNA from 1 species